CUUCUCCUCUUCUUUAAUCUCUCUCUGAUGAUGAGAAUGUAUUCUUUGUGCUUUUCUAAUUUAGGUCUCUGUCUCCUCUUAUUGUAGGUUAUCAAUCUUCUUCAUCGCCAUAGGAUCUCAUAUUUGAAGCUCAUCUUCAAAGGUGUGUCGUCUAGUGGAUGUCAAUGAGUUUCUGGGAAGCUCAAUAGAGGUUGAAGUGGGAGUGAAGAAAUCCAAGUCACUCCAAACCUCCUUGUUGAUGAACUCUUAGCUAAAUGCAAGUUAUAAAUUGCACAUUUGAUUCCCCUACCCUUGCUUUUUCCUGAUGAAGGAACCGGCCGUUCUACUCCUCCUACAUAGUGAUUGACUUUGGAAUCAAUAUUUGGACUGAAGUGGAAAAUGGUAGAGGCAAAGAGCACAGACUGCACAUUAUUUAUUUUGGAAAACUUGGAGCAGAUGCUACCUUUCUGUAUAUGGUUACAAAUUUCUACUAGACAAACACAAUUUACAGAAAGCCACGAGGAACAUCAUUUAAUUGUUGUAGCAGAAAGAAUGUUUUCCUCAUAGCUGCUGAAUGUCAGCAUGUAGAGGCAAAGAACACAUUUCACACCUUUUAUUUUGGACAAGUUGAAGCACAUCUUAUGCUGGUCAAUAUGGUUACAAAGUGCUAUUAGACAACCACAACUUACAGAAAGCCAUAACGAACAUCAUUUAAUUAUUGUUGUCAACAUAAAAUAUUGCUCAUACCUCCUGCAUGUCAGCCAGACUCUGUUCAUGAAUUUUAGUUGAACCAGGGAGAUAAACAGAACCACCUCCAAGGCCAUUUUGAACACGGCAUAUGGUGAGCAGAUUCUGAACCCUCCUAGAAAGUUCAGCUCCAGAACCUUUUAACUGUAAGUUGUGUCUAAUUGUCAGGAAGUCUAGACCUCCAGAAAGCACUCAAUAAGUUAACAGACUAGACUACUAACCUGUCUCGUGAUGCCUGUCAACCUCUCCACCAAUUCAGCUUCUCUUUUCAUCAAAGGCAAUCGACAACCUUUACCUUGAAGUGCCUCUAGUAUUCUCAUCACCUGUAGUGCAGGAUAGUGCAAACAAGAAUCUAAUGCAAUUAUCUAACUGUAAGCGAAAAACAGGAUGGUGGUGAUCUCCGAACACCAAUGAAAAGGAGACAUCUUGCAAAAUAGAUGCUUAGCUAAUUUGGUUCAAGCAUGUGACAUUUACAAAUUAUGCCGAAAGAGCAUGUUUGCAAGUUUCUACUAAUAGAAAAUUAAUAUUAUAAGAAAGGCCAAAUAAGAAUCGCACCCUCAAAAGGCGUCUUUGAAGACCUUGCUCUUUGUGUCUCAUUCUUUCAAUCCAAGGAAGGGUAUCAGCUUGGAAAUGCCUUUGCAGCUACAUUUAUUGAAGGUCAAGCCAACAAGGACAGUGCAAUGCAGACAUUAAAAGACACAUUAUGACAAUAUGCAGGCACAUUAUUAGAGAGGAGAAAGGAGACGAACCAUUUUCACAUUGCUCUGCGUCAUUUGCAGCCUCUCAGCAUCUGAAACUAUUACUUCAUCUUGAAGCUACAUGAAUUCAAUUGCGAAAUAUUAAUUACCAGGAACCAGGCCUCCCACCCCGAGGCCCAAAACUUUAGGGGAAAAUAGAACCAAAUGAAAGGUCACAUGAUUAAAUGAGAAAUUGUAAUGCAAAGGCAUCUCAGAUGAUUGAAAUGUCUUCUCAGAUACGGGCUUAGUCAUGAAAAGGUGAGAACUAGAAUACAUUAACCGCACCGACAAAAAUUAAAUAAUUUAACUAGUUAUAACAAAAAGAAGGUUUUAUUAAGUGGAGAAAUGAACAAAAUUGAACUAACUCUGUAUAUUACUUUUGAACAGCUCACAUAAGAGAUUGCGGAACUUUUAGGCAGUAUUUCAAGUACUCAUUCUGAAGCAUUAGAAGAGGCUCAAAGCUUCUAGAAACCGGAUUCAAUGUCACAGCCCUCAUUCCCUAUACCAUCAAUUAACUAACUUCUGUAGGUAUAACACUGGGGACCGAGUGCACUGCUUUUUUAAGCGGCAACAUAAUGAUACACAUCAAGAUGUACAUGUCAAUUUCAGAAUGUCACGGAUGCUACAAUGGUCGUAAGUGGAAAGCCAUCGAGCUCGAGCAUUAGCAAAAAAGCCUAAUCGGACGAUUUAACAUUAUAGCAUACCAAGAUGCUCGAGUCAAUUCGUCAGGGUACUCAGAAUGGUGACGGUGCUAAGAAGAUCCAUCAACAGGGUAAGUUCAGUUGACAUGUAUCCCGAAGUAGGGAUUUCUCAGGCAAGGGUUCUCGUGGUUAUCAUGGUAGACCAGUGCAUGCAGCUUUAUAGGGUUCAGAUAGUAGGUUUGUGGUUCCUGUGGUGUCAGGUAGUCUGGAAUAAGGUUACGCGAGUAGAGGCUCCAGUGUUGGUAGUGUUGGUUCUUCAGGACAGGAAAGUCGCUUUGGUUCCUUUGGGCCCUCUCGGCUUGAGUCUGGUAACCGAGCCUGUUACGUAUGUGAGGAUAUUAGCCACAUGGCUAGGGACUAUCCUCGGCGAGUGUAUGGUUCUGUCCAGCAAGGUUCUCAGCUUCAACUUUGUCCUACUCUUAUUGUUGCGGUUAGAGGUGGUUCACAGAGUGGCAAGGGUAGUACUAGGAUGCUCGAGGUGGAGCUCGGGGAGAUCGUGGUAGAGGACGCAGGGUUGCUCAGUCUAGGAGUAGAUAUGGUCAGCGCUAUGCUAUACUUGGGGGACUCAGGCAGAGGCCUCUGAUGCAGUUAACAGAGGUAUCUUCCCGGUUUUCCAUCGUUCUGCUUCCGUGUUAUUUGAUCCUGGUCUACAUUCUCCUAUGUAUCAUUAGCUUUCUUUUGACGCGUAGAUUAUGUUUUUAAUAGUUUUAGCUUGUGUCGAGACCAUUCGAGAGGGAAAGGCUCCGCAUUGAAGGUUCUAGGCUUGGAUUUUCAGCUUAUCGAGGUAGGUUAUGGCUUAACUUAAUUCAGACUAGACUGGGCAAUUAACAAACAUGUAAAGUAAGAUAUAGGUUGGGGAGAUAUCCAUGGGAUUUAUAUUGCGAGAUCAUUAUUAUUAUUGCGUGCACGUGUGGGGGUUUAUUUGCAUA